UUGAUCUCAAAUCAGGUAGGACUACCCGCUGAACUUAAGCAUAUCAAUAAGCGGAGGAAAAGAAACUAACAAGGAUUCCCCUAGUAACUGCGAGUGAAGCGGGAAGAGCUCAAAUUUAAAAUCUGGCGUGCCUCUGGCCGUCCGAGUUGUAGUCUGGAGAAGCGUUUUCCGUGUUGGACCGUGUAUAAGUCUCUUGGAACAGGGCGUCAUAGAGGGUGAGAAUCCCGUCUUUGACACGGACUACCAAUGCUUUGUGAUGCGCUCUCAAAGAGUCGAGUUGUUUGGGAAUGCAGCUCAAAAUGGGUGGUAAAUUCCAUCUAAAGCUAAAUAUAGGCGAGAGACCGAUAGCGAACAAGUACCGUGAGGGAAAGAUGAAAAGCACUUUGGAAAGAGAGUUAAACAGUACGUGAAAUUGCUGAAAGGGAAC
rnacentral:rRNA from 1 species